rnacentral:rRNA from 1 species
GGGUGUCGGGAAAGAUUUCAUCGGUAUGGGAUGGGGUCGCGUCCUAUCAGGUAGUCGGCGGGGUAACGGCCCACCGAGCCUACGACGGGUAGCCGGCCUGAGAGGGCGACCGGCCACAUUGGGACUGAGAUACGGCCCAGACUCCUACGGGAGGCAGCAGUGGGGAAUAUUGCACAAUGGGCGCAAGCCUGAUGCAGCGACGCCGCGUGCGGGAUGACGGCCUUCGGGUUGUAAACCGCUUUUGAUCGGGAGCAAGCCUUCGGGUGAGUGUACCUUUCGAAUAAGCACCGGCUAACUACGUGCCAGCAGCCGCGGUAAUACGUAGGGUGCAAGCGUUAUCCGGAAUUAUUGGGCGUAAAGGGCUCGUAGGCGGUUCGUCGCGUCCGGUGUGAAAGUCCAUCGCUUAACGGUGGAUCUGCGCCGGGUACGGGCGGGCUGGAGUGCGGUAGGGGAGACUGGAAUUCCCGGUGUAACGGUGGAAUGUGUAGAUAUCGGGAAGAACACCAAUGGCGAAGGCAGGUCUCUGGGCCGUUACUGACGCUGAGGAGCGAAAGCGUGGGGAGCGAACAGGAUUAGAUACCCUGGUAGUCCACGCCGUAAACGGUGGAUGCUGGAUGUGGGGCCCGUUCCACGGGUUCCGUGUCGGAGCUAACGCGUUAAGCAUCCCGCCUGGGGAGUACGGCCGCAAGGCUAAAACUCAAAGAAAUUGACGGGGGCCCGCACAAGCGGCGGAGCAUGCGGAUUAAUUCGAUGCAACGCGAAGAACCUUACCUGGGCUUGACAUGUUCCCGACAGCCGUA